rnacentral:misc_RNA from 1 species
GGAAGGAUCAUUAACACGUAUCCAACGUUAAAACCCCCCGUGAACUUUCAGCCUGCUCUUGUAGCUUGUAUGUCUAUGCAGCAAUCUCGGUAACUCAAGUGGGAGGAAAGUGUUGAUUCGAGACCUCUGCAGCAUAUGGGUUACAAUUGAGCGGUAGAAGCAGUGGCAUGGCGUCCCAAGCCUCCAGUGAAUGACAGCGUCAUUGGAACAAGUAAGGGAUAACGCCUCUCGGUUGCUAGAGGUCGCUCACCGACCGGCAGACAUGUCACAGGGCCUUGCGCCCCUUAAUCACCCCUUGCACAUGCACCCGCCUCCGAUGAAAGUCCGGGGCACAAAAAACCGAACAACUGUUAACAAUGGAUAUCUUGGUUCUCGCAACGAUGAAGAACGCAGCGAAAUGCGAUACGUAAUGCGAAUUGCAGAAUUCAGUGAAUCAUCGAAUCUUUGAACGCAAAUUGCGCUCUCGGGUUACCCCCAAGAGCACACCUCUCUGAGUGUCGGUUUAACCAAAUGUCACCAAUUUAUUGGUGUACGACAGACUGAGGGUAAGGGGUUUCGGCCUCUUUCCCUUUAAAACUCAGCCUCACGACUGUGUGUGUUCGUGGCAAGUUGCUUUCACUUAAUUGUGAAUCCAAUCCACCGACCCUAUGUCGUGAAGCCAAAAGAAACAAAUGAACAAACGAGUGAGCUGGGACGCGGGCUUUAAGCAGUGACCGGGUAGGCAUAUCGAAAGGUGUGUUGACUUGGGCGUUGUUUGAGGUUGGUGGCCUGGUAAACAAAUUUGUGCAUCUAUGAAUUAGACCUCAGAUGAAGUGGGAAGACCCCCUGAAUUUAAGCAUAUUAUUAAGGGGAGGAAAAGAAACUAACAAGGAUUCCCCUAGUAACGGCGAGUGAAGCGGGAAGAGCUCAAAUUUAAAAUCCGCUGGUCUAACAGCCUGUGGAGUUGUAAUCUAGAGAGGCUCUCUCAGUGCCAGCCUGGUUAUAAGUCCCUUGAAACGGGGCAUCAAAGAGGGUGAGAAUCCCGUAUUUGAGCCGGAGCUAAGUACGUACGAGGAGCUUUCCAAGAGUCGCGUUGCUUGGGAGUGCAGCGCUAAAUGGGUGGUAAAGUUCAUCUAAAGCUAAAUACUGGCGAGAGACCGAUAGCGAACAAGUACCGUGAGGGAAAGAUGAAAAGAACUUUGAAAAGAGAGUUAAAAAGUACUUGAAAUUGUUAACAGGGAAGGGGAGUAAACCAGUCAUUUCUAAGCUUCAUUCGCUUUUCCUUCGGGAGGGGUUACUUGAGGCUAAGAAGAGUCAGCACCACUUAGGAUCUUCGCAGAAAUUGUGUGAGUUGGUGCGUUUCUUCGGAUUCGUUUAAUUCAUGCAGUCUACGUUGGUGCUGGGUGAGGAGUGAUAGCCCCCCACCUUCGGGUGUCGGUACUCUGAGGUCUGUUUGCCCUAGCGCGUGAGAGAACAAAGUUCUGUCUGUGCGAAAGGUGAAUACUGCUUUGGAUGUGCCAGAUGGUGGGCUCGCGGUGCAGACGAAAUGGUUUUCUUCCACCCGUCUUGAAACACGGACCAAGGAGUCUAACAUAUAUGCGAGUAUUUGGGUGACAAACCCUGAUGCGUAAUGAAAGUAAAGAGCUGCAAAGCUUGAGGUAGGAAUCUUACCUUCGGGUGGGAGGCACUAUCGACCGAUCGUUCGCUUGCGGAAGAUUUGAGUAAUAGCAUAUCUGUUGGGACCCGAAAGAUGGUGAUCUAUGCCUGAACAGGGUGAAGCCAGGGGAAACUCUGGUGGAAGCUCGUAGCGAUACUGACGUGCAAAUCGUUCGUCUGAUUUGGGUAUAGGGGCGAAAGACUAAUCGAACCAUCUAGUAGCUGGUUCCCUC